GAUGAACGCUGGCGGCGUGCCUAAUACAUGCAAGUCGAGCGAACGGACGAGAAGCUUGCUUUUCUGAUGUUAGCGGCGGACGGGUGAGUAACACGUGGAUAACCUACCUAUAAGACUGGGAUAACUUCGGGAAACCGGAGCUAAUACCGGAUAAUAUUUUGAACCGCAUGGUUCAAUAGUGAAAGACGGUUUUGCUGUCACUUAUAGAUGGAUCCGCGCUGCAUUAGCUAGUUGGUAAGGUAACGGCUUACCAAGGCAACGAUGCAUAGCCGACCUGAGAGGGUGAGCGGCCACACUGGAACUGAGACACGGUCCAGACUCCUACGGGAGGCAGCAGUAGGGAAUCUUCCGCAAUGGGCGAAAGCCUGACGGAGCAACGCCGCGUGAGUGAUGAAGGUCUUCGGAUCGUAUAACUCUGUUAUUAGGGAAGAACAUAUGUGUAAGUAACUGUGCACAUCUUGACGGUACCUAAUCAGAAAGCCACGGCUAACUACGUG
rnacentral:rRNA from 1 species